UACGGAGGGUGCAAGCGUUAAUCGGAAUUACUGGGCGUAAAGCGCACGCAGGCGGUUGGAUAAGUUAGAUGUGAAAGCCCCGGGCUCAACCUGGGAAUUGCAUUUAAAACUGUCCAGCUAGAGUCUUGUAGAGGGGGGUAGAAUUCCAGGUGUAGCGGUGAAAUGCGUAGAGAUCUGGAGGAAUACCGGUGGCGAAGGCGGCCCCCUGGACAAAGACUGACGCUCAGGUGCGAAAGCGUGGGGAGCAAACAGGAUUAGAAACCCUUGUAGUCC
rnacentral:rRNA from 2 species